rnacentral:rRNA from 1 species
UCCAGACUCCUACGGGAGGCAGCAGUGAGGAAUAUUGGUCAAUGGGCGAGAGCCUGAACCAGCCAAGUCGCGUGAAGGAUGAAGGAUCUAUGGUUUGUAAACUUCUUUUAUAUGGGAAUAAAGUGAGGAACGUGUUCCUUUUUGUAUGUACCAUAUGAAUAAGGAUCGGCUAACUCCGUGCCAGCAGCCGCGGUAAUACGGAGGAUCCGAGCGUUAUCCGGAUUUAUUGGGUUUAAAGGGAGCGUAGGUGGAUUGUUAAGUCAGUUGUGAAAGUUUGCGGCUCAACCGUAAAAUUGCAGUUGAAACUGGCAGUCUUGAGUACAGUAGAGGUGGGCGGAAUUCGUGGUGUAGCGGUGAAAUGCUUAGAUAUCACGAAGAACUCCGAUUGCGAAGGCAGCAUACCGGCGCCCUACUGACGCUGAGGCACGAAAGCGUGGGUAUCGAACAGGAUUAGAUACCCUAGUA